rnacentral:rRNA from 1 species
GUGGGGGUACUAUACUGCAGUCGAGCGAACAGAUGAGAAGCUUGCUUCUCUGAUGUUAGCGGCGGACGGGUGAGUAACACGUGGGUAACCUACCUAUAAGACUGGGAUAACUCCGGGAAACCGGGGCUAAUACCGGAUAAUAUUUUGAACCGCAUGGUUCAAUAGUGAAAGACGGUUUCGGCUGUCACUUAUAGAUGGACCCGCGCCGUAUUAGCUAGUUGGUAAGGUAACGGCUUACCAAGGCGACGAUACGUAGCCGACCUGAGAGGGUGAUCGGCCACACUGGAACUGAGACACGGUCCAGACUCCUACGGGAGGCAGCAGUAGGGAAUCUUCCGCAAUGGGCGAAAGCCUGACGGAGCAACGCCGCGUGAGUGAUGAAGGUCUUCGGAUCGUAAAACUCUGUUGUUAGGGAAGAACAAAUUUGUUAGUAACUGAACAAGUCUUGACGGUACCUAACCAGAAAGCCACGGCUAACUACGUGCCAGCAGCCGCGGUAAUACGUAGGUGGCAAGCGUUAUCCGGAAUUAUUGGGCGUAAAGCGCGCGUAGGCGGUUUCUUAAGUCUGAUGUGAAAGCCCACGGCUCAACCGUGGAGGGUCAUUGGAAACUGGGAAACUUGAGUGCAGAAGAGGAGAGUGGAAUUCCAUGUGUAGCGGUGAAAUGCGCAGAGAUAUGGAGGAACACCAGUGGCGAAGGCGGCUCUCUGGUCUGUAACUGACGCUGAUGUGCGAAAGCGUGGGGAUCAAACAGGAUUAGAUACCCUGGUAGUCCACGCCGUAAACGAUGAGUGCUAAGUGUUAGGGGGUUUCCGCCCCUUAGUGCUGCAGCUAACGCAUUAAGCACUCCGCCUGGGGAGUACGACCGCAAGGUUGAAACUCAAAGGAAUUGACGGGGACC